rnacentral:misc_RNA from 1 species
UUUCCGUAGGUGAACCUGCGGAAGGAUCAUUCAUAAUAAGUGUUCUAUGGCACUUUUUUAAAUCCAUAUCCACCUUGUGUGCAAUGUCAGGGUUGAUUUUUCUCUCGAGAGGAUCAGCCCCAAACAUCAACUAUAUCUCAACUCUUUGUCUGAAAAAUAUUAUGAAUAAACAAUUCAAAAUACAACUUUCAACAACGGAUCUCUUGGCUCUC